GAUGAAAGUAAAUCUAAAUGUUAGUAGCAAUGAACAAAGUUAGUUAACAGACUUCUUGUUCCAGCUUUGUUCAUGAGUUGAGGAUAUGCAAUAUAUGGUCUGUAAUUUUGUAAUAUCUAAGGAUAUGAAUGUACCAGCAUUUUCUCACUUACAGGACUUGUUCAAGUCAUUUGCCCGCUUCCUGUCUCACCUGCUGGCAAAAAGAAGGAAUUGUGGGAGGAGCCAAGUGAAAGCCGAAGCUGGACGCAUAAUCGAGAAGUUCUUCAGUAAAGUCCAACUCUGCAAGAUUUGCUGACAAUAUAAAAUUAGCUGUGUCCUACUAUGACCCCCUCAUCCCUGAAGCCGAAGAAGGGAUGUAUAACUCUCGUUUCCAUGGAGACCACUGCGGGAGGAGGGAGAUGUCCGCGCGAGGAACGGAAAACAAGGAUGCUGAGCCUGAGGAGCACAUGGAUUAGAACAAGUGGAAGAAACAAAACUGGGGUCAUAUGUUUGUGACUGGGCCUUUAUUAAUACUUAAUCAUUGAAAAGUCGUUCUUCGUCGAGGGCUCGGGUCGAGCAGCUGCCGACGACGGGAGCGGUGGAUGGAAGAUGGAGGGACCUUCUCCCCUCUUCUUCUAGUCUGCUCACCUUCCUUCGCUUCCAAGUGACUGUGAAUAAAGCUUGUUUAUUAGCACA
rnacentral:lncRNA from 1 species